rnacentral:rRNA from 1 species
GAUGAACGCUCGCUACAGGCUUAACACAUGCAAGUCGCGGGGAAGAAUGGGGGUUGUUUGCAUUCCCCAAUGGCGACGGGCGAACGGGGGAGUAACGCGUACCCACCUUGCCUUUCACACCGGAUUAACCCGCCGAAGGUCGGACAAAAACGGAAUGUUUUCAAUUGAGGGCAUCCGAUUUGGACGAAGGGCUUGGGGGUGAGGGAGGGGGAUGCGUCCGAUUAGCCAGACAGCGGGGUAACGGCCCACCGUGGCUACGAUCGGUAGGGGUUCUGAGAGGAAGGUCCCCCACACUGGAACUGAGACACGGUCCAGACUCCUACGGGAGGCAGCAGUGAGGAAUAUUGGUCAAUGGGCGUAAGCCUGAACCAGCCAAGUAGCGUGCAGGAUGACGGCCCUAUGGGUUGUAAACUGCUUUUAGGCGGGGAUAAAGUGGCCCACGGGUGGGCUUUUGCAGGUACCGCAUGAAUAAGAACCGGCUAAUUCCGUG